CUAUGACUAUGUCAUGGCGGAAGGAG
rnacentral:ncRNA from 1 species